UGUUGACCUCGAAUCAGGUAGGAAUACCCGCUGAACUUAAGCAUAUCAAUAAGCGG
rnacentral:rRNA from 1 species